CUCUUCAACGUUGGAAAAACCGUUUUAUUCCCGUAAGGAGUUGUCUCCCUCUAUUAAAGUGCGUAUUAUAGUUUCCUUGCUGGAUGAGCGUGGAGGGAAAUUAACAUAGAAAACAAUCGGUGAUUUACUCGAUUAUAUACGAUGUCGUACAAAGAUUCUCAGAGCCAUCGGGGCUCAAAGACAUUUUCGAGGCCCCCACUUGGGUGGUCGGGGGUAUUUUUUUGUUACAAAAAAUUUAAAAUCACGAUGCCAGAGAAUCAGAGCCCGCAGGGGCAAAGACAUUUUCGACGCCCCAACUUGGGUAGUCGGGGGUAUUUUUUGCUACAAAAAAUUUAAGGUGCAAUAUUUAAAGAUGAAAUUAACAAAUAAUUGCGUUUUAUGGAUGUUUAUAGGUGAUUGUCCAGCCCGUGCAACGCCAGUGGACUUAGAUGAAUCAAGGAAGAAAUAAAAUGACAUAUUUAUGAAUUGUAGUCUACCGUACUGAAUAAAUGUUAUAACAAGAAGAA